UCAUUAUUUUAUAAAGAAUAUUGCAAAGUGCAAUAGUUUGAUACCCAAGAAAAUUAGAAAAAUUGCUUUCUUUUGGAAUCAAACAUAAAAAAUGUUGAGUUAACCAACUAAGGCAAAGUAGAACUAGCAAAAAAACCACCAGACUGCAUCAAUCAACUCCAUACCUAUCUCAUUCAGAUGAGCUUGCUGAAGAAUGCAUUAAAACAAUCCAAUCCAAUUCUGGAGCCUUCCUGGUUCUAGAGAGAAAAAACCGCCCAUUUGAUUUCCUUUUCUGUUCAGCUACAACAAGGAUCUCUAGCCUGAUCCUCAAUCAAAACUCUUCUUAUAGCAACAUUGUUAGUACUACCUCUGAUGCAGUUCAAAAGAAUAAGAAGGCCAGCAGAAAAUCAGGCCAUCAAACUGGACGAAGAAUGGACUUAUAUGUGUAAUUUUGAGUGUCCAAUGAAUGGGCCAUGGGUUUAUAUUUUUGUUUACUAUUGUAAAUUGUACUGGACCAAUUCUAUAAUCCCAAAUAUUAGGGAUUUAAGUUCUAUACGGAAUAAUUAAAUAGUUUUUAUUUUGUAAUGUUUUAGAAUAGCUUCUAAUUUGAAGAAAAACUUGAAUUGUAAAGUAUUUUGUAGAGGGGUUUCCUAUUUUGCCUGUUUCCAUGAAGUUAUAAAUAAAGAUUAGGGGAUCAUAGCCAUGGAUUGUUUUUAGAAAUAAUUUAGCCAUGAGCUUGUGAGUUCUGUGAGAGAUGGAGCAUGAUUUUGUGGAAUUCAAAACUACUCUACUGUGGGAUGCUGUAGGGAAACCUUGGUGGGAUGCCUAGGCUGGAGUUGGUGGGAUUCCUUCUCCACAGUUAGGUGAGAGGCCUACCGUAUCCUUCUUCUUCUCAAAUAACUGAAGAUCAGUUUUUCUGCACUCCUUGUACCCUAUGGCUAGUUAGUUUUAAACCUUCUCAAUUCUGUUUUGCUCUGUAUCAUCUAAUAUUCUGUUAGUUGGUCUACUAAUUUUUUUUUUCCUGUUACUGUUUUCAAUUAUAUUCUUGAGUUUGUUUCUACUCUGGAAAGUUUCGAAAUCUGGUUUCAAAUUUGUUUUCUUAUUUUCUGAGUUCCUAAAUCUGAGAGUUGCUAAUUCUGAUCUUCUGUUAUUUCUAAAGACAGUUCUCGUUUCAGAUCCCUACCCUCUGCGAUCCUGGAAUUUUCAUUGGGAUUAUAUACCCUAAUCCUUAGGUAGCCUAGAUUUUUUUAGUUUUUAUUUAUUUAUUUAUUUUUGUUGUGUUAACGAUUUGUAUCCAGGCCUUCUGCCUCACCAGUUCCAUGGGCCCAUAUUGACCCCACAACUGCAUGGACUGGCUCAUACCGAGGUUGAAUGAGAACCAUUCAACUUUCACUGAAAGCAGUGAAGAGCACUAAACACCCCCGUGUGAGUUGCCCCAAGGAGGUAGGAUGAAUCGAACUCAGAACCACACACUUUCUGAGGCGAAGGUCCCUUGCCAACUUGGCUAUCCCAUUGGGGUUUAGGUAGCCUAGAUUCCACCUUGGUAUCAGAGCCAUGGAGGAUGGCAAACAGAGUCAAUGGUUGCUGAAUUUUACUUCCCUCUGAAGGAUGAUUGUGAAGGUUUGAUUCAGCAUCACUGGGUGUUUUUUAUUUUUAUUUUUUCCACUUAAAAAAUGAAAGAAAGGGAGAGUUGAUGUGGUUCAAAAGGGGACAAGAAGGCCAGCAGCAAACCAAGCCAUCAAGCUGGACCAAGAAUGGACCAAUAUGUGUAAUUUUGAGAGUCCAAUGGAUUGUAUGGGCCAUGGGCUUUUUAUUUUUGGGUUGACUAUAGUAAUGAGUCAAUUAUAUAAGACCAAAUAUUAUGGAUUUUAAGUCUUAUACAGGAUUAAGUAAAUAGUUUCUAUUUUGUAAUGUUCUAUACUAGCUUCUAAUUUGAAGACACUUAAGUUGUCGGGUAUUCUUUGUACCAUACAUAGGGGUUUUCUAUUUUGUUUGUUUCCAUGAAGUUAUAUAUAAAGAGGAGAGAAUCAUACCCCUGACCAUUGAUUUGAGAAAUAAUUUGGCCUUGAGCUUGUGAGUUCUGUGAGGAACAGAACAUGGUUUUGUGGGAUUCAAAACUACUCUACUGUGGGAUGCAGUAGGGAAGCCUUGGUGAAAUGCCAAGACCGGAGUUGUGUGAGUCCUCCUCCACAAUUAGGUGAGAGGCCUAACAUAACCUUCUACUUUGUCUCAAAUAACUGAGAUCACUUUCUCUGCACUCCUUGUACUAUGUGGCUAGUAAGUUGUGAACCUUCUCAAUUCUAUGUUGCUGUACAUCAUCUAAUAUUCUGUUAGUUGGUCUACUGCCUGUUUAUCUUCAGUUUUCUGUUACUCUUUUCAGUUCAAUCUCUAUUUUUGGAAAUUUUCUAAAUCUGGUUUCAAAUCUGUGUUCUUAUUUUCUGAGUUCCUAAAUCUGAGAGUUGCUAUUUCUGAUCUUCUGUUACUGCCCAAGACCAGUUCUGAUUUCAGAUCCUACCCCUGCGAUUCUGGAAUUUUGAGUGGGAUUCUAAUGCCUAAUCCUUAGGUAGCCUAGAUUCCACAUUAGCCUCCCCAAUCAAUUGAAUCUGUCCCAAAUAUUUUCUCUAGAAGUAAAUAUCCUAAUGUAGAGCUCAAUAGACAAGUCAAUCAAGCUCUCAAUCUGCAGGAUGCUUUAUUCAGAGAACAUUCACAGUCCAACCAACAGUGGUAUAAAAUCAGACUAAGAGAAUAUGCAAGUAGGAAACCAGCACAGCUAUCGAUCCCAAUAGAGAAGGGCUCCUCUGGUCAGAUCAGUGAACAGAUGAAUAGGAUCUAAUAGGGGUUGUUAUGAGUCUCAAACCAUCCAUAACAGGUAUUGGCUGCAGGAACUACUACAGGACAAAAUUUGAGUGAUUUUGUAUAACUCCAGAUCAGGUGGUCUAUCAGGGUUGGUCCCUGGUUGAGUCUCUCUUUAUAUGGGAGGCUUCUUCGAUCCAAAGGGCAGCCCAAACCAACGGUUCAAAGGGGCUGUACAGGUACAGGUUGCAACAGGCUAAAAACCUUCUAAUUCUGGGCAGAACUGAGAAGGAGAUGGAUUCAAAUACUUGUCGGCAGUUACAGCAGUAGUAGUUCUUUGAGUAAUGGAAUGAAGAAGAAAAUAACUUGAAGAAAAGGACCUCUUGGGCUUCACACUGCAAAGAGUCAGCCAGAUCGAACACCAGCUCCACAAUCUUGAUCAAACACAAGACCAGUUCUCAGCAGAGAAGACAACAGCAGCAGCCAUUAAUUUAGUUUGUCAAAAUCAUCGGAGCUUUAGGAGCCUCCUCUUUAUUUAUUAUGUUGAUGGGGGAGGGAAUUACAAAAUAGAAGGUUCCUUAAAAGGAAACUUUAAUUUAGUCUUCUAAUACAAUACUUACUAAAAACUGAAAUUAGGAACCAGCUGAAAGAAGGAAACUAACUACUUGACUCAACGAAUUACUUAACUCCUAUGAAAUAACAGAGACUAACAACUUCAAUUGAACCCAACUAAAAAGGAAACUAAUGAAAGAAAGCAACAAACUAGGUUUUUCCGUGUACAACCUUAAUGCCCCCAAUUUAGACCCAUAAAAGUAGCCCAUUACACUCUAAACCACAUGGACUGAAGGCCCAACACAUAUACAACCCAAUUCUAGACUUAUUCCUAAUAAAACAAGCCUUGUUUGGUGAAGAAUCUGCAUCAUAUCCUCCUCGUUAAUUUGAUUAGGAUCAUCCGUGAUUGUGCUAUUCUCCAAAAUAUGAUAUAAAUUUUGACUAAAGAUCACAACCUCGUGGAAAAAACCAUUACUACCAUCACCCAACUGAAGCCAUUUACAUCUAGAAUUUUGCUUCUAGAAACUUUCCUCUAUCAUGAGAGCAACUGAUAAUUUAGAUUUUGCCUCUUCUCUUGCUGAGCUAGAUUAUCCUGAAUAGGUUUAUCAACAAGGUCCCUCUGGAUACUGACAUUUUAGGCAAGAUAAAGGAUUAAGGACUUCCUUUGCACUAGCAUUCCACAAUCCACCCUCCCAUCACCACCUCUUUAAAGUCAGGCCUCAGCCCAAACAUCAAAGAAAAGAAACGUGGUUUUGGCCCAAAAUUGCGAUCCUGGUGGUUUGAAACACCUGGAAGGAUGAACUCAGCUUUUGAACACUUCGAACACCUGGAACGAAUUCAAACAUGAAGUUCUGUGAAUGGAGCCAUCAAUUGCAAUUUUCUCUAAUUAGAAAUAUCGAGAUGAUAUUUCAUAUGAUGCUUUACAUUCGGGGAUUGAGCCUUAGUCCAUCCAUUAUAAAGUUAUGUUUGUUGUUUCAUGAGUCACCUGGAAAAGGUUUACAACCAAUACUUGGUUACCUGGGAAAAAAGCUCUUGAAGACUUGAAGCUAUUAUAAAGUUGUAGAUAAGCCUUUUGAUUUAAUUGUGGACUAAAGGUCCAUUUUUUGGCAAGUUGCAAACCAAUUAACUUAGUUGAUCUGUACAGCUUAAGUAACAGUCGUUUAUUUCAGAUUUAAAAAAUUUGAGUUGUUUUGGAAUCAUUGAAUCUAAAACUGAAUCUCUCUCCUCUUCCUCCUCCCCACACUUAUUUGGUGAUUGUUAUAAUAUAUCUGGUUAUGUUGAAGGUUUUAAAAUUACCCCUUUGUUUUCUAAAAGUUAUUAAAUAUAAAAUUAAAAUUUUUUUACACUAAAAUUUCACAGAUAAGUUUUCGCCAAUUUAUUUAUUUUAGCCCAUAGAGUUGAGGCUUUUGAAUCAUACAAAUGAGUUAACACAUAUUAUGGAAGAAAAAGUUAUUCAAGAAUCCACUUAGAUUCUUUUUGCCUGUGAAUUCUGAAUUUGAACUGGUAAAGUUUUCCAUCCUUCCAAGUAACAAACUGAGGUUAAAGCAAUGAGAUUGGAAUCUAAAGCAAUAUUUUAGACCCCUUUCUGAAGCAUUUGGAGUCCAUAUGGAGUAUUUUCUUAGGCCUUUCUACGUUCUUUUGAGGGGCUUAACUAAUGAUGGGACAAGCAAAGAAACUUAUUCUUGUUCCUUCUCACCCAUUAAUCCUAUUGCAAAUAUUAUCUCAAAGAUAGAAUGAUAGGCAUUAUGCUUGGCACUUAAAUUUUUAACCUUUUCUUAGUUUUGUCCAAUAAAGUUUUACAUAUUAUUGAAAUGAUGUUUUGAAAGACCAAGACAAGGCUCAUCGAAGGUUUUCAGAUACAGGAGGUUACAACUUGGUGAUAACUUUAACUAUUGUAGGUUAUUGUGAUAAUAAAUAUCUGUACCAUUAUUGUGCUCCAUUGUUUAGUGGUUGAGUGAGUCUAAAUCUCUUUCUGUUAAUUAGUACAAUCACAUGUGAUUGGUCAUGAGCACGAGCAUGACAGAUUGAUGAGUAUUCAAUCUUAGUGUCAAAUUUAGAUGAUAUGAACAUAAGCUUGCCGGUCAACUAUGAAAAUGUCAGGUGAUUGAGCAAGUUUUGGAGUGAACAAGGUGCAAGUGUAGGUUGGUGCCCAAAGUGAACCAUUUUGAUAUUUUUGUUAGCGAGUUUGUUGGAACCAUUGCUGAACAUAUAAAAGGUAUCUUAAUGGUACAGUCCUUGAUUUGCAUUUCUUCAUUGUCUGAUUGGAACAAGGAUGAGGGUUCUUUUAAGCGUUUGAGUGCUCUGAUGAAACUUGAUAUUGAAAUAAGUUGCCAGAACCUCUUUUUUUUGGGUGGGGGGGCGGGGGUAUCUAAGGAACUUCUUUUCCCCACCCACUUUGCCUUGCAUUAUUGUUUUGAAACAUAUUGAUGGUUGGGAAUUGAUCUUGGGUGCAAUGAUCCCCAUAGAUGAACUGAUUACUGUUGUCAAAAUCAAUCUUCAACAUGGUUUACAGUUAAAUAUCUUGUGAUAUUUUGCAUCAUCUGUGCCUAAAUGUCUCAGAAUACUGAUAUUGAACUCAGGAAAAAUGUUUUUUUUUUUUCCUCAUAAAGUUACAAAAUGAUCAGACAGUGCUUAGUUGCUCUUACAGAGAAUUUAAGGGAGCUGUUCAUUGUCUUCUUAAGCUCAUUCUUCAGAUUCCAAAAUUGACAAGUCAGUGAAUGUGGAUGCUGUUGAACAUUUUUGCAUAGUUCUGUGGUUUAAAAGUCCUAUUUUGGUAGUCCUUUUACUCUUGUGUCUGCAUAUAUGUUCCUCAGUCAGUUCAUCUGUUGUCAGUCUCUUUGUGUUUUGUUUGUUAUUGUACCAGAAAGUCUUGUGUUGCAUUAUCCUAGUGGCAGAUUUCUUGAUGUUUUUGUGUUUAGUAUGAGUGACACUUGGUCUAAGAUGUCUUGUAAUUCAUGGAGCUCUAUUUUGUAUAUAAUCUUAUCUCUGGGAAGUUGUAUACAAACACAUAAGAAACAGAUUUUCAUUCAAUUCAAUUCAGUGGUUUUGAUU